rnacentral:misc_RNA from 1 species
GAGAAGAACGUAGCGAAAUGCGAUAAGUAAUGUGAAUUGCAGAAUUCAGUGAAUCAUCGAGUCUUUGAACGCACAUUGCGCCCCCUGGUAUUCCGGGGGGCAUGCCUGUCCGAGCGUCAUUGCUGCCCUCAAGCACGGCUUGUGUGUUGGGCCUCCGUCCUCCUCCCGGGGGACGGGCCCGAAAGGCAGCGGCGGCACCGCGUCCGGUCCUCGAGCGUAUGGGGCUUCGUCACCCGCUCUUGUAGGCCCGGCCGGCGCUUGCCGACACAUCAAUCUUUUUUCCAGGUUGACCUCGGAUCAGGUAGGGAUACCCGCUGAACUUAAGCAUAUCAAUAAGCGGAGGA